rnacentral:rRNA from 1 species
CAAUACCGCGUGCGGGACGAAGGCUUUUGGGUCGUAAACCGCUUUUGUUAGGGAAGAACACAAUGACGGUACCUAACGAAUCAGCAUCGGCUAACUCCGUGCCAGCAGCCGCGGUAAUACGGAGGAUGCAAGCGUUAUCCGGAAUUAUUGGGCGUAAAGCGUCCGCAGGUGGUUUAUCAAGUCUGCUGUUAAAUCGUAGGGCUUAACCCUAUAAAGGCAGUGGAAACUGAGAGACUAGAGUACGGUAGGGGUAGCGGGAAUUCCCAGUGUAGCGGUGAAAUGCGUAGAUAUUGGGAAGAACACCAGCGGCGAAGGCGCGCUACUGGGCCGAAACUGACACUCAUGGACGAAAGCUAGGGGAGCGAAAGGGAUUAGAUACCCCUGUAGUCCUAGCUGUAAAC